rnacentral:lncRNA from 1 species
GAAUGAGGCAAGACCCUUCGAGGCGAUUGGCUCACCUGACCUUCACCUCCUCGUGCACGACCCUGACAGUAGGGUCCCCAAGGGCUUUGGAACUGCGGGAUUGGGACACGUGACUUCCUUGGUCAUUCACCUUGAAGUGGACACGGGCUGGGAUGGAGUCUUGCUCUGUUGCCCAGGCUGGAGUGCAGUGGCACGAUCUCGGCUCACUGCAAACUCUGCCUCCUGGGUUCACGCCAUUCUCCUGCCUCAGCCUCCCAAGUAGCUGGAACUACAGAGAUGGGGUUUCAUCAUGUUGCCCAGGCUGAUCUCAAACUCCUGGGCUUGUGUCCGAAAUUGGUGAGUGCUUGGUCUCACUGACUUCAAGAAGGAAGCCGCGGACCCUCGCAGUGAGUGUUACAGCUCUUAAGGUGGUGCGUCUAGAGUUUGUUCCUUCUGAUGUUCGGAUGUGUUCGCAGUUUCUUCCUCCGGGGAGGCUCAUGGUCUCGCUGGCUUCAGGAGUGAAGCGGCAGACCUUCGCGGUGAGUGUUAUAGCUCUU